rnacentral:rRNA from 1 species
CCUACGGGGGGCAGCAGUGAGGAAUAUUGGUCAAUGGACGCAAGUCUGAACCAGCCAUGCCGCGUGAAGGAAGACGGCUCUAUGAGUUGUAAACUGCUUUUGUACGAGGGUAAACGCAGAUACGUGUAUCUGUCUGAAAGUAUCGUACGAAUAAGGAUCGGCUAACUCCGUGCCAGCAGCCGCGGUAAUACGGAGGAUUCAAGCGUUAUCCGGAUUUAUUGGGUUUAAAGGGUGCGUAGGCGGGGGGGUAAGUCAGAUGUGAAAUCCAGGGGCUCAACUUCGGAAUUGCAUUUGAUACUGGUAGUCUAGAGAGUAGUUGAGGUAGGCGGAAUGUGUGGUGUAGCGGUGAAAUGCUUAGAUAUCAUGCAGAACACCGAUUGCGAAGGCAGCUUACUAAACUACUUCUGACGUUGAGGCACGAAAGCGUGGGUAGCAAACAGGAUUAGAUACCCGAGUAGUC